GCGCUGAAGACAGAGCACAGAUCAAUGCAUUUAUCCGCCUGCGACUCACAUAUAUCUGUCUAGCAAGGCCUCUGACGAGCAUCGUGAUGAGAAGAGAGCUUUUUCAAGGGAAAGCGAGCCUGGUGCCAUUACAAUGGAUUUAUCAACACGAAGGAUGGAUCUUGUGUGUGUUUUCUGUACUUGUCUUACGUUGAGCCACGCGCACAAUACCUGCAGAUGAAAAGGUUUUGUUCGUUCGGCUCGCGUUACGCAGAUGCAGAUAUGCUUCAGCAGAACACGACACACAGGAGCAACAGGACACAUCGACGUGUACGACUGCACUUUCAUUCCUGGCAGAGUUUAAAGAUUAUACUGUUGACAAAGCUUAACCAUUUUGACAAAGUUUAAACAAAUAUAAAAACGUGUAAUUUGUUUAUUCUCUGUAAUAAAUUAGCCUGCUUUUUACUAAUGCAAUAGUCAUAUGUUUUAAGAUUUUUAGGAUUUAUACAAAGCAUUCAGUGGAGUGUUUUAUUAAAUGAUUUAUCAAAAGCUUCACUAAAAAACUUUCACGGUUUGAAAUAUUGUCAAAGCUGCAACAUUUGAAUUAAACCUGGCAUUGUCCAUUCCUU